rnacentral:rRNA from 1 species
AGAGUCUGUAGGCUGUAUAGAAAGUCUUUUGUUAAAUUCCUCGGCUCAACCGAGAUCAAGCAAAGGAAACUUCUAUACUUGAGGGAAGUAGAGGUACAGGGAAUUCCCGGUGGAGCGGUGAAAUGCGUAGAUAUCGGGAGGAACACCAAUAUGGCGAAGGCACUGUACUGGGCUUUACCUGACGCUAAGAGACGAAAGCUAAAGGAGUGAUUAGGAUUAGAUACCCUAGU